GCAGGCCUUUACAAUGGAGCCAUUAGCAACAUACCCGCUGCAAAACGGGCGGAAAGAGCGUACACUACUAAGCCCAUGUCUCCACGGGACGUUUUCAUGGGAUUUGUCCCAAGUUCGAAUCGCAGGAAUGAAACUUCUGGGAUAUUCCCAGGUACCGUCUCAACGGGACGGGGAUCAUAGGUUCUGCGACUAGUUUGGGCGGGAAGAUAAAUUAGAUAAAGUCGAGUUUUUAACCGGGAUUAAAAUAAUAAUUGCGCACUCAAUUGACAAUUAGACACAUUAUUUUAACUAAACAAACAUUAACAAUGGCGUAUUCAACAAAAUAUCGACAAUCCCUUUACACUCUUCUUCCUCUUCAAUGGGUCCUAGGAGUAAAAGGACCAUACUUGGUACUGGGAAAAAUAUUGAUCAACUCAAUAUUUUUCCCAACUUCGUAAGUGGGAUUCUUCUCGGGACAAAUCUCGUGAAACGGCCCGUGGAGACAAGGCCUAACGUGGUGAACGCUCAAAACCUGAAGAAUUAUUGCCGCUGAAAGCGGAGAUUCUCCGAAAAUUGACAGCAGUGCGUUAUUCGAAUGCGUCAUGAGUCAAUCUCAACGAGUCAGUCACACCUCCUCGGCGUUGGGUCCAGCACUUCAGCGACUGGCAUCCUCGUGGUUUUCCUGAACAGAAGUCAGAUUGCAUCAUAGAAUUAGCAUACUAUACACCGCUGUAAACGGGAAAUUUCCAGGAACGCCUCCCGAUCUGGCACGGCCAACAAUGAGUCCUCUCCGCUUUAUGACGGGUCAAAAUGUCUUUGACUGGGGGAUUUUUCGCCCCGGGCACGUGACUGAAAAAAACGUGUUUCACACAUCAAACCGAGGAGCGUUUUAACUGUUUCCUAUAAAAACUCCGGUCCACGAACCGGAGUCAACAGUUUCCCUCCGUUUAGUUUCCUCACCUGGUUAGAAGCUGCGAAUCUGAUCGACGAUGGACUUUCGACUAAUAGCUACCUUUUUCUUCGCGCUCAUGAGCCUCGCUAUGUUCGUCUCCGCCGCACCGGAGCCCAACCCUGAUCCCCGCGGUUGGGGAGGCGGCCGUGGCGGCUACGGUGGUGGUUACCACGGCGGAUACGGUGGUGGUUACGGCGGACACCGCGGCGGUUACGGUGGACAUCACGGUGGAUACGGUGGACAUCACGGCGGAUACGGUGGUCAUCGCGGUGGAUACGGUGGUCAUCACGGAGGCGGAUGGAGAGGCUAG
rnacentral:lncRNA from 1 species